CCUACGGGUAGCAGCAGUGGGGAAUAUUGCACAAUGGGCGCAAGCCUGAUGCAGCAACGCCGCGUGAGGGACGACGGCCUUCGGGUUGAAACCUCUUUUAGCAGGGAAGCGGUACCUGCAGAAAAAGCGCCGGCUAACUACGUGCCAGCAGCCGCGGUAAUACGUAGGGCGCAAGCGUUAUCCGGAAUUAUUGGGCGUAAAGAGCUCGUAGGCGGUUUGUCGCGUCUGCUGUGAAAUCCGGAGGCUCAACCUCCGGCCUGCAGUGGGUACGGGCAGACUAGAGUGCGGUAGGGGAGAUUGGAAUUCCUGGUGUAGCGGUGGAAUGCGCAGAUAUCAGGAGGAACACCGAUGGCGAAGGCAGAUCUCUGGGCCGUACUGACGCUAAGGAGCGAAAGGGUGGGGAGCAAACAGGAUUAGAUACCCGAGUAGUC
rnacentral:rRNA from 1 species